GCGCGACCCUCUCUCCCUGGCUUUUCCGGCAGGACCGACAAUCUUGUGCUUGUGCCCACAAACGCUUUAGAAAAUCGACUCUCUUAAUCUUUCCAAAGAUGUUACCCCAGCUGCAAAGUCGUGGCACUCUGAAAACCUUUUAAGUCAGUAUACCAAAGGGCUUUAGUCGGGAUUAAAAGCAAAAUGCCAAAAUUUGGCUUUUAAAACGCCACGUCUAAAUGCAACCUAAGCACAAUCGUAGAUCGAUGCAAAACAGGCCCUCGCGAGAGCCCCCCUCCCCUGCGCGCAGCGCUGUUUGCCCUGAGCCCCAGCACCCCCAAAUCCUGGGAACUUCUUUUCUGGCGGGCAGCGGCGUGGAAGCUUGAGCUCACAGAAGGGAUUUUCAGUCGGCCAAGGAUUUAAGUCAGUGCGUGUCCUGGAAAAACCGACUCACUCCCAGCUCGAGGUGGCCCGGAGAGGUGGGCCUGGGACUCACGACUCCUGGGCGCCCUGGCCGGCGACCCGUCCUCUCUCUGCGGCCCUUUUGGAGGCCUCUGCCCCAGCCAGCGCCCAGCACAGCGUAGGUGCUCAGGAACGACGCCGCAGAGAGCCGCUGCGGCGCACUUGGCUUUCUAGAAGCAAUAAAUGAAAGUCUCUAUAUUUAAAAAAAAAAAAAAAAAAAAAGAUUAAUGAAGUCACGAUGGAGAGGCAGAGAACACAGCAGAAUCCACCGACUCACGACAACGUGUGCAGAAGCAAUUUGCCCCCGAAACUCUAAACAUGAAAUGCUUUAGUACCUCCCUGCUGCCCUGCGGUAGCUAGCGAAUAAAUAUUUCCACAUGGAAGAAAAUGGCCCUUUGAAAUGUAGCCUGUUGUAUUCAAGAGAGAAAUACAGCAAGGUACCACCAGGCUUCAGUGGCAAGAUGCAUUAUUAUUUUUUCCCGGUUUUUGAAAAUUGUGUGCCUUUCCAUUAGGACUCCCAGAUGGUAAACACGGAUUCCCUCGUGAAUUGAAUCCGUGCACCCACCCCCUUUGCUGGUUGGGGGAACUAUAGACGAACCUCUGGCCGACAAAUUACGCCUUCAUUGAAUGCUUUGAUUAUCUGUUAAGUUAGAAACAAUCCUAUUAAAAGUCGGGCCCCUGCCUCUUAUUUAAUCUGCGUGUGUAACUCUUCCUCUCCCAUUUCUGAGUUUGUUCUCCAAAGAUUAAAUAAAAACCAACCAUUCUUGACCUGUGUCUCCUGUGCUCUGAAUUUGAAACCAACCCAUGAUCGGGUCUAAAGUCAAAUCAGUGCUUGGGAGAAUGUCUAUCACGUGGUAUCACAGUUCUUUAUUCAUACAGACGGCUCAGCUCAUUUUUUAAAAAUAAAAAUAUUCUGACUAAGGCUAGGAACGUAUGGCUGAAUUCUGCCGCUUGCUCAGAUUGGAGGGGUUUCCAGGGAGUUUUGAGGCACUGGAAACUUCUCUGCUCUAAGUUUUCCGAAGGACACUGUCAGCAAAAUUUCAAAUCACUGAAAGGAAAGUGAGUUAUGCAGAAGAACAAAGUACAACAGUAAUCUCAAGAAGAAUUCACAACGUUUCGAAAGCAACAGGACAAAGUUCCCGUCCUGAAAGUCAUCCGAACAAGACAGACGAGCUGAUCCUUCGCUGCCCGGCGUUUCCAGAAUGCGAACAGGGACAGCGUUAUACGUAAGCACGUUACAUUUCCUUCUGGCUUGUGGUGCUGGGAAUAUGGAAGGAAGAGACGCAGUCCCUUCCCUUAAGGAAACUCAAGAAGUCAAACACUCCAUCCGGCUCCUAGAUAAAUGCCUGAGGGAACUGAACGCACGUCCCGGCAAAGGCUGGUGGCCUUCUUCACGGCAGCCCCAGUCGGAAGCGCCCAAAUGUCCACCGCCUGUAGACGACGUGACUAAAAUGUGGUAUAUCCACACACUGGAACAUUACCCGCCCAUUGAAGGAAUCAGGUCCCCAUCUGUCCCCAAAGAACAGUAAGUACAGCGUCUGUCACCGAAGGACAAGGCUCCAAGGCCCGGGCAGAAUUUCCUCUCUCCCCCGCCUUCCUCAGGCUCACCCGCGUCAUUGAAGAUAACUGUCCUCACCCCAGCCAGCAGGGGCUACCUUCACCUCCUUGGGGCCUCUCCCCAGGAGCACCUGUCCGGGCUUGAGUAACUGGGGACUAUAGCCUGGCCCGUGGUGCAUCCGAAAGCCAUCCAGAGCCCCUCGUGUUUUCUUCUUUUAUUGUAGUUGUGCUUCCCACUCCUGAAACUCUGAUGGAUGCUCGCGGAUGCUCCCGGUUGGGGCAUUUAGUAUGGAGCCAAGUCGGUGGUUCCUCUGAUUUGGAGACAGACGUUCCGGCUGGCUGUUUCCCAUUUCUUGUGAGACUGAAACAAACAGGAGAAUGAAAGAAAUCGUUAUUGGCACUUGACAAGAGACAGGAGGUCGUGAGGACAGAAGAGACGUGGAGGGGAUCUAGGGGAGGCAGCCUGAGAGGCGUCCCAUUACGCCAACCAGUCUGUGGGUGAAAUUUGCUCACGGGCUAACAUGCCCCUUGCGGUGGUUAAUUUUGCGUGUCAACUUGACUGGGCCGUGGAGCCCAGACAUGUCAGCAGCCAUUAUUCUGGAUGUUUCCGAGAGGGUGUUUUGGGAUGAGGUUAAUCCUUAAAUCCAUGGGCUUUGAGAUUACUUUCAUAGUGUGGGUAGGUGGGCCUCAUCCAAUCAGUUGAUGGACACCUGACUGUCUCCAAAGAAGGAAUUUUGCAGCAGAACAGCUUUUGGACUUGAGCCAAAACAUCAGCUGUCCCCUGGGACUCCACCCUGGUGGUCCACUCUAGAUUGUGGACUUGCCAGCCUCCGCAAUUACGGGAGCCAAUUCCUUAAAAUAAAUCUCUUUCUAUAUAUA